GACGAACGCUGGCGGCGUGCUUAACACAUGCAAGUCGAACGGUGAAGCGCCUUCCUUUUUGGUGGGUGUGGAUGAGUGGCGAACGGGUGAGUAACACGUGAGUAACCUGCCCCCUUCUUCUGGAUAACCGCAUGAAAGUGUUGCUAAUACGGGAUAUUCUGGGUCUGUCGCAUGAUGGGUCUGGGAAAGAUUUUGUUUCGGUUGGGGAUGGGCUCGCGGCGCAUUAGCUUGUUGGUGGGGUGAUGGCCUACCAAGGCGGCGACGGGUAGCCGGCCUGAGAGGGUGGUCGACGGCACUGGUAGGACGGAGCCACGGCGAAGCCUCCUACAGGAGGCAGCAGGGGGGAAUAUGGAACAGUGGGCGGAAGCCUGAUGCAGCGCCGCGGCGGGAGUGAUGGAGGCCUUCGGGUUGUGAUCUUCUUUCGCCAGUGAAGCAGGCCUGCCUCGUUUGUGGGUGGGUUGACGGUAGCUGGAUAAGAAGCGCCGGCUAACUACGUG
rnacentral:rRNA from 1 species